rnacentral:lncRNA from 1 species
GCUCUCUGCUGCCCCAGGAAUGGGCUGAUUUCCUGAGUACACAUUAAUCUGAGCUCCCUCAGCCCUAGGGGUAGGGGGAUUGGGGGCACAAGAUGGGUGGAGCCAGAUAGGGAAGAUUCCCCCAGUGUUGUCCUGCUCCCAGUCCAGGUUUGGGACAAUGCCGGCAGCGUUUCCCUGUGUCUUUCCCCCACAAAGUCUCCAAGUCUUUCCUCAAAUGAUCGUCAAGGUUUGGGAGAAACAAUCUCUUCCUCUGCCCGGGUUGCGUGGAUCUCCAGUGGAAAGGCUUUAUCUACCAAGAAAUGAAUUGGAUAAUCCACAUAAACAAAAAGCUUGGAAAAUUUAUCCACCAGAAUUUGCCGUGGAGAUACUUUUUGGAACCUGGCUUACCAGUAUAUCACCCCAGCGUUGACACACUGGGAACGGGUCACGCAUGUGGAUGAUCAAAGGUCAGCUCCUGGUCAAUAUGAGAAGACUGGUUUCAGAAAAGUUGAGUGCUGAAGACUACAAAGCUGUUUGUAAGUUAUCAAGCUAGGAUUUGAUCCCAGGUCUGCCUGAUAAAUCCUGGACUCUUAACCAUGACAUAGGAGUGCCCUCUUGACUCCUAUGAUGGCAUAAAGAAUUGUAUCAGAACGGGUAAUCUGGCAUUAAAACCCCUGUGCCAC